UACGAAGGGGGGCAAGCGUUGUUCGGAUUUACUGGGCGUAAAGCGUACGUAGGCGGAUAUUUAAGUCAGGGGUGAAAUCCCGAGGCUCAACCUCGGAACUGCCUUUGAUACUGGGUAUCUUGAGUCCGGGAGAGGUGAGUGGAACUCCUAGUGUAGAGGUGAAAUUCGUAGAUAUUAGGAAGAACACCAGUGGCGAAGGCGGCUCACUGGCCCGGAACUGACGCUGAGGUACGAAAGCGUGGGGAGCAACAGGG
rnacentral:rRNA from 1 species